rnacentral:rRNA from 1 species
GUCGAGAAUAAUUCACAAUGGGGGAAACCCUGAUGGUGCAACGCCGCGUGGAGGAUGAAGGUCUUCGGAUUGUAAACUCCUGUCAUCUGGGAGUAAGACCUGACGGUGAAUAGCCGGCAGGGUUGAUAGUACCAGAAGAGGAAGGGACGGCUAACUUCGUGCCAGCAGCCGCGGUAAUACGAAGGUCCCAAGCGUUGUUCGGAAUCACUGGGCGUAAAGGGAGCGUAGGCGGCGUGGUAAGUCAGAUGUGAAAUCCCGGGGCUCAACCUCGGAACUGCAUCCGAUACUGCCAUGCUUGAGGGCUGGAGAGGUAACUGGAAUUCUCGGUGUAGCAGUGAAAUGCGUGGAUAUCGAGAGGAACACUCGUGGCGAAGGCGAGUUACUGGACAGCAUCUGACGCUGAGGCACGAAGGCCAGGGGAGCGAAAGGGAUUAGAAACCCGUGUAGUCC